UCAUCUGCCCACUACGAUGGUGCGCAGUUCCCACUGCGAUUGCGUUCUUAUAACGUGGGCAAUAACAAAUAUAUAUCUAUCUUAUCCGUAGCGGUACAAUGUGUAAAUUGCCGACAUUUGCCGUAUGAACUGAAGAAACAUUUGC